rnacentral:rRNA from 1 species
CCUACGGGAGGCAGCAGUGAGGAAUAUUGGUCAAUGGGCGUAAGCCUGAACCAGCCAAGUCGCGUGAGGGAUGAAGGUUCUAUGGAUCGUAAACCUCUUUUAUAAGGGAAUAAAGUGUGGGACGUGUCCUGUUUUGUAUGUACCUUAUGAAUAAGGAUCGGCUAACUCCGUGCCAGCAGCCGCGGUAAUACGGAGGAUCCGAGCGUUAUCCGGAUUUAUUGGGUUUAAAGGGUGCGUAGGCGGCCUUUUAAGUCAGCGGUGAAAGUCUGUGGCUCAACCAUAGAAUUGCCGUUGAAACUGGGAGGCUUGAGUGUGGUUGAGGCAGUCGGAAUGCGUGGUAUAGCGGUGAAAUGCUUAGAUAUCACGCAGAACCCCGAUUGCGAAGGCAGCCUGCCAAGCCAUGACUGACGCUGAGGCACGAAAGCGUGGGGAUCAAACAGGAUUAGAUACCCUAGUAGUC